rnacentral:rRNA from 1 species
GGAACGCUGGCGGCGUGCUUACACAUGCAAGUCGUACGAGGGCCCAGAGCUUGCUCUGGAGACCCGAGUGGCGAACGGGUAGUAACACGUGACCAACCUGUCCUAGGGUGGGGGACAACCCGGGGAAACCUGGGCUAAUACCGCAUGAUGUCACUGAAUCGCAUGGUUCGGUGAUCAAAGAGGGCCUCUACUUGUAAGCUCUCGCCCAAGGAGGGGGUCGCGACGUAUCAGCCUGUUGGUGGGGUAACGGCCUACCAACGCUACGACGCGUAGCGGAUCUGAGAGGAUGAUCCGUCACAUUGGGACUGAGAUACGGCCCAGACUCCUACGGGAGGCAGCAGUAGGGAAUAUUGCGCAAUGGGCGAAAGCCUGACGCAGCGACGCCGCGUGUGGGAGGAAGCCUUUCGGGGUGUAAACCACUGUCAGAGGGGAAGAACGGCGCCGGUUCGAAUAGGUCCGGCGAUUGACGGUACCCUCAGAGGAAGCGCCGGCUAACUCCGUGCCAGCAGCCGCGGUAAGACGGAGGGCGCAAGCGUAGUUCGGAAUUACUGGGCGUAAAGGGCGGGCAGGUG